AUACGUAGGGUGCGAGCGUUGUCCGGAAUUACUGGGCGUAAAGAGCUCGUAGGUGGUUUGUCGCGUCGUCUGUGAAAUUCCGGGGCUUAACUCCGGGCGUGCAGGCGAUACGGGCAUAACUUGAGUACUGUAGGGGAGACUGGAAUUCCUGGUGUAGCGGUGAAAUGCGCAGAUAUCAGGAGGAACACCGGUGGCGAAGGCGGAUCUCUGGGCAGUAACUGACGCUGAGGAGCGAAAGCAUGGGUAGCGAACAGGAUUAGAUACCCUGGUAGUCCAUGCCGUAAACGGUGGGCGCUAGGUGUAGGGGUCUUCCACGACUUCUGUGCCGUAGCUAACGCAUUAAGCGCCCCGCCUGGGGAGUACGGCCGCAAGGCUAAAACUCAAAGGAAUUGACGGGG
rnacentral:rRNA from 1 species